rnacentral:rRNA from 1 species
GGCCUACGGGAGGCAGCAGUGGGGAAUAUUGCACAAUGGGGGGAACCCUGAUGCAGCGACGCCGCGUGAGUGAAGAAGUAUUUCGGUAUGUAAAGCUCUAUCAGCAGGGAAGAAGAUGACGGUACCUGACUAAGAAGCCCCGGCUAACUACGUGCCAGCAGCCGCGGUAAUACGUAGGGAGCAAGCGUUGUCUGGAAUUACUGGGCGUAAAGGGCGCGUAGGUGGGUGCUUAAGUCAGGUGUGAAAACUCUGGGCUCAACCUGGAGACUGCACUUGAAACUGGGUAUCUUGAGGGCAGGAGAGGA